rnacentral:rRNA from 1 species
UACAGAGGUCUCAAGCGUUGUUCGGAUUCAUUGGGCGUAAAGGGUGCGUAGGCGGCGCGGUAAGUCGGGUGUGAAAGUCAAGGGCUCAACCCUUGAAAGCCGGCCGAUACUGUCGGACUAGAGUCCGGAAGAGGCGAGUGGAAUUCCCGGUGUAGCGGUGAAAUGCGCAGAUAUCGGGAGGAACACCUAUGGCGAAGGCAGCUCGCUGGGACGUUACUGACGCUGAGACGCGAAAGCGUGGGGAGCAAACAGG